rnacentral:tRNA from 1 species
GGCCUCAUAGCUCAACUGGAUAGAGCAGCGGUCUUCUAAACCGCAGGUUCCAGGUUCGAGUCCUGGUGGGGUCA